rnacentral:tRNA from 1 species
CUUGCUUUAGUUUAAUUAAAAUAGUGGGUUGCAAAUCCGAAGUAGGGCAGAAAAGAGACCUAAGCAAGU